GACGAACGCUGGCGGCGCGCCUAACACAUGCAAGUCGAACGAGCGAGAGAGAGCUUGCUUUCUCGAGCGAGUGGCGAACGGGUGAGUAACGCGUGAGGAACCUGCCUCAAAGAGGGGGACAACAGUUGGAAACGACUGCUAAUACCGCAUAAGCCCACGGGUCGGCAUCGACCAGAGGGGAAAGGAGCAAUCCGCUUUGAGAUGGCCUCGCGUCCGAUUAGCUAGUUGGUGAGGUAACGGCCCACCAAGGCAACGAUCGGUAGCCGGACUGAGAGGUUGAACGGCCACAUUGGGACUGAGACACGGCCCAGACUCCUACGGGAGGCAGCAGUGGGGAAUAUUGCACAAUGGGGGAAACCCUGAUGCAGCGACGCCGCGUGGAGGAAGAAGGUCUUCGGAUUGUAAACUCCUGUUGUUGGGGAAGAUAAUGACGGUACCCAACAAGGAAGUGACGGCUAACUACGUGCCAGCAGCCGCGGUAAAACGUAGGUCACAAGCGUUGUCCGGAAUUACUGGGUGUAAAGGGAGCGCAGGCGGGAAGACAAGUUGGAAGUGAAAUCUAUGGGCUCAACCCAUAAACUGCUUUCAAAACUGUUUUUCUUGAGUAGUGCAGAGGUAGGCGGAAUUCCCGGUGUAGCGGUGGAAUGCGUAGAUAUCGGGAGGAACACCAGUGGCGAAGGCGGCCUACUGGGCACCAACUGACGCUGAGGCUCGAAAGUGUGGGUAGCAAACAGGAUUAGAUACCCUGGUAGUCCACACCGUAAACGAUGAUUACUAGGUGUUGGAGGAUUGACCCCUUCAGUGCCGCAGUUAACACAAUAAGUAAUCCACCUGGGGAGUACGACCGCAAGGUUGAAACUCAAAGGAAUUGACGGGGGCCCGCACAAGCAGUGGAGUAUGUGGUUUAAUUCGACGCAACGCGAAGAACCUUACCAAGUCUUGACAUCCCUUGACAGGCAUAGAAAUGUGUUUUCUCUUCGGAGCAAGGAGACAGGUGGUGCAUGGUUGUCGUCAGCUCGUGUCGUGAGAUGUUGGGUUAAGUCCCGCAACGAGCGCAACCCUUAUGGUCAGUUACUACGCAAGAGGACUCUGGCCAGACUGCCGUUGACAAAACGGAGGAAGGUGGGGAUGACGUCAAAUCAUCAUGCCCUUUAUGACUUGGGCUACACACGUACUACAAUGGCGUUAAACAAAGAGAAGCAAGACCGCGAGGUGGAGCAAAACUCAGAAACAACGUCCCAGUUCGGACUGCAGGCUGCAACUCGCCUGCACGAAGUCGGAAUUGCUAGUAAUCGUGGAUCAGCAUGCCACGGUGAAUACGUUCCCGGGCCUUGUACA
rnacentral:rRNA from 1 species